CCUGGCUUAGGACGAACGCUGGCGGCGUGCCUAAUACAUGCAAGUCGAACGGCUUUUCUAUGGAAGCUUGCUUCCACUGAGAAGAUAGUGGCGAACGGGUGAGUAACACGUGGGUAACCUGCCCAUAAGAGGGGGGAUAACAUCCGGAAACGGGUGCUAAUACCGCAUAGUUUUCUUGAUCGCAUGAUCGGGAAAGGAAAGACGGCCUUUGUGCUGUCGCUUAUGGAUGGACCCGCGGCGUAUUAGUUAGUUGGUGAGGUAACGGCUCACCAAGACGAUGAUACGUAGCCGACCUGAGAGGGUGAUCGGCCACAUUGGGACUGAGACACGGCCCAAACUCCUACGGGAGGCAGCAGUAGGGAAUCUUCCGCAAUGGACGAAAGUCUGACGGAGCAACGCCGCGUGAGUGAAAGAAGGUUUUCGGAUCGUAAAACUCUGUUGUCAGAGAAGAACAAGUUGGAGAGUAACUGCUCCAGCCUUGACGGUAUCUGACCAGAAAGCCACGGCUAACUACGUGCCAGCCGCCGC
rnacentral:rRNA from 1 species